GCCAUUUGGGGAGGUGAGUCAACGCAGCACUGGUUAAUAUAACACAAACCCAGGAGGGCCCGCCAUUCCCGAACAGUUCCCUGUACCAUGGUGCUAUGGUCAGUUUGCUCAUCCUCCCCACAACCCCCACUCUCAUCCACGCAGCAAUCUCAAAGUCAUUGGACAAGUCGGCUCCUUCAGCGCUAACCCCUGGAUCCUUCCCCCGUCUCAUUUGUUAUCACAGCCUCCUGUCCCUGACCAACUGCCUCUUAAAACACAGCGUCCAAGUGACUCAGCCCCUCUGUGUCCCUGUGUUCGAAGUUCAGGCUCCAGCUCAUCAAAUCUUGAGUCACAGUUCCUCAAGCAACCAACAUUGGAUCCCCAUGUAUUCAGAGAUCAUGCAGGGCCCCCGAUUCUGGGUUUCACUUUAUCCUGUCAAAAGACUUUACAAGCCAUGAACCAAAAAACAUGCCACAAGCAUCUCCUCCUUUCUGCACCGAAUUCUCUCACUGUCUCCAAACGGCCGGACAAGACAGUUCCACUGGAAUGGACUGGGAACAGACAAAAGAAUAGAAUGGAAUAGUCACAUGCACUUGAAUGAGUGCCGUGAAAAGUUUGUGAUGUCAUCUCUCGGUGCCGUUUCAGGUACAGGGUACCUGGGUGCAGAUACUUCGUGUUGUCACAGAAUUGAAAUAGUAAAGAAAAAUAGACCAGCAUGGGAAUACGUAGUUUAAAUAGUCCAGAAUGAUAAUAUAAAGUGUCUUCAAAGUGCUCAAGUUAUAGUCCCUUUCCACUGAGUCCAUGCCCAUCAGAACAUGAGGCCUUGCUGCGUCCACCCAUUGGUCUCCAUACAGGAUCCUCCCGGCCAGUCUGUGCUCACUUUGCUCCCGCUGUGCUCCUGCCCCAGCCAUGACUCGCUCCCAGCUCAGCCCGUGCUCGCUCUGCUCCUGCUCCAGCCAUAACUCACUUCCAGGAUUCAGCCUGUCCUCGCUCUGCAAUGGCAACUCACUUCCGGGACUCGGCCCAUGCUCACUCAGCUCCUGCCCUGGCCGUGAUUCCCUUCUGGGACUAGGCCCGUGUUCGCUGUGCUCCCACUCUGACUGUGACACGGUUUGGGGACUCGGCCCGUGCUCGCUGUGCUCCUGCUCUGGCUGCGAUUUGUCUCCCAUGCCAGUCUGAUGUUGAACUCCGUUCUCCAUGCCCUCCAGGUAGGGUACUUCAGGGAGUUACAAGUUGGGGGUGGGGUGUGCACAGGGAAGAAAAACUGCAGUAAGAGGGGAUAAAGUAGAAAGAAAGAGGGGAAGAUGCUGGCAAGCAGAGGAACUCUAGCAGGAACGUCUUACUCUGCUACCAUCCUAACCAGAGGACAGGAAAUACAGGACGGUGUAGCCCCAACAAUCUUGUCGAAAUAAUAUUUGUCACGUAUUUAUUUACUCAGUCUAGAAAUGUUUGAGGAAAUGGCUUGAAAAUCAACCAUGUAGAAAAGCACACUUGAUUUUCUGAAUUAUGUUUAAAGAUGAAAUAGUUCCUCUUAUUUUGAAAUGAGAAACUUAAUGGUAGUAUUUUCUGGACAUUAUUCCAACAGUUUGUGCCCCUCUGGAAGUGUGAGUGUCUGGGAUCCCAGUAUUUCCUUAUAUUUGCUACUGAGUUUUCAUACUGUUUCUGUGUUGUGUCUUGUUGAGCAAUGAUCGGAUAAUAUAGUCAUACAUACUAAUUUUGAAUGUGGAUUGUACAACUGCAGUUGGGUAGAGAUAGGAAUGAGAAAAUUUUUUGCGAAGUAUUAUCUGUAGGAAUAAUUGCUUGGAUGCUUGUUUUCUGUAAAAAAGAAUAAAAAGCAUUUUGUCAUGAAA